ACAAUGGUAGUUCAGUGGUAAAAUUUUCUCCUUGCACGUGGGAGACCUGAGUUUGAUUCUUGGCCAAUGCA
rnacentral:tRNA from 1 species